rnacentral:rRNA from 1 species
CGCGUAGGCGGGAUGGCAAGUCGGUCGUGAAAUCCUUCGGCUCAACCGAAGAACGUCGGCCGAUACUGCCGUUCUUGAGGGAUGCAGAGGAGACUGGAAUUCCCGGUGUAGCGGUGAAAUGUGUAGAGAUCGGGAGGAACACCGGUGGCGAAGGCGGGUCUCUGGGCAUCUCCUGACGCUGAGGCGCGAAAGCGUGGGGAGCAAACGGGAUUAGAUACCCCGGUAGUCCACGCCAUAAACGAUGACGACUAGGUGUGGGGUGGUUCAGUCCACUCCGUGCCGCAGCUAACGCAUUAAGUCGUCCGCCUGGGGAUACGGCCGCAAGGUUGAA